GCCUAGGAUGGCGUAAUGGUUUGAGCACUGGACUAUGACUCUGAAGACCAGGGUUUGAAUCCCUUCUCAGCCA